UGACUGUAGAGUUAGAGUAAUCAGGUGGGUGGAUUCAUUACUGACUUUCGAGUUAGAGUAAUCAGGUGGGUGGAUUCAUUACUGACUGUAGAGUUGGUUAGAGUAAUCAGGUGGGUGGAUUCAUUACUGACUGUAGAGUUAGAGUAAUCAGGUGGGUGGAUUCAUUACUGACUGUAGAGUUAGAGUAAUCAGGUGGGUGGAUUCAUUACUGACUGUAGAGUUAGAGUAAUCAGGUGGGUGGAUUCAUUACUGACUUUCGAGUUAGAGUAAUCAGGUGGGUGGAUUCAUUACUGACUGUAGAGUUAGAGUAAUCAGGUGGGUGGAUUCAUUACUGACUGUAGAGUUAGAGUAAUCAGGUGGGUGGAUUCAUUACUGACUGUAGAGUUAGAGUAAUCAGGUGGGUGGAUUCAUUACUGACUGUAGAGUUAGAGUAAUCAGGUGGGUGGAUUCAUUACUGACUGUAGGUGGCACCACAACCCCACUGUACCUCCCUGAAUACAGUGGCAAUGGGUUGAGGGAAAGAAGUAGUUUCAGCUUUUGUUCCUUCACUGGCACUAGUCUGUCUUUCUCAAGUACAUUUGAAAGGUGCUUUAUGCAAUACUUCCACAUGGAAUGUCACUAAGGGCACUUUCACAUAUCCCCUUAUGAUCUGGACCCUGGAAAGUUUGGUACCCUGAUCUGAGCUAUAAAGCAUGUUUGAAACAGAAACAAACCCUAGCUUCAACGAAUCCUGGUCCUGCGUGAGUAGCGGGUUCAAGACCCAGGACUAGAGUACCAGGUGGCAGUGCGAGACAGGUGGAACUUUUUGCCCGUUUUAAACAAGCUAACUUGCUACCAUCAUGUAGAACAGUGUUUCCCAACCAUGGUCCUCCAGUACCUCCAACAUUACACAGUUUCAUUGUAGACCUGGACAACCACACCUCAUUCAACUCAUUGAGGGCUUGAAGAUUAGUUAACAAGUUGAAUCAGGUGUGCUUGUCCAGGGUUACAAUAAACAUGUGUACUGUUGGGGGUACUGGAGGACUUGCUAAUUGCACCCUGAAACUUUUAUUUACAGGUUUUGUGAAAUCAAAACGUAUUCUGUAGAAUUCUCACAAACGAUCCAGAAAACUGAACCAGAGUACCAAAUUUCAUAUGUGAGAAUGCCCUAAUGUCAAUGACAGGAUGUGAUCUCAUCUACACUCAAAGCCAGAACAAAACAAUUGUUGCUUGAAUGAGUCAGAUUAUUUUGUUAGAAUCUUUCUAUCUCUGCUUUACUCAUA